rnacentral:rRNA from 1 species
AUUGAACGCUGGCGGCAGGCCUAACACAUGCAAGUCGAGCGGAUGAAGAGAGCUUGCUCCUGGAUUCAGCGGCGGACGGGUGAGUAAUGCCUAGGAAUCUGCCUGGUAGUGGGGGAUAACGUCCGGAAACGGGCGCUAGUACCGCAUACGUCCUGAGGGAGAAAGUGGGGGAUCUUCGGACCUCACGCUAUCAGAUGAGCCUAGGUCGGAUUAGCUAGUUGGUGGGGUAAAGGCCUACCAAGGCGACGAUCCGUAACUGGUCUGAGAGGAUGAUCAGUCACACUGGAACUGAGACACGGUCCAGACUCCUACGGGAGGCAGCAGUGGGGAAUAUUGGACAAUGGGCGAAAGCCUGAUCCAGCCAUGCCGCGUGUGUGAAGAAGGUCUUCGGAUUGUAAAGCACUUUAAGUUGGGAGGAAGGGCAGUAAGUUAAUACCUUGCUGUUUUGACGUUACCAACAGAAUAAGCACCGGCUAACUUCGUG